rnacentral:rRNA from 1 species
GAUAAACGCUGGCGGCAUGCCUAAUACAUGCAAGUCGAACGAAGAGCGACAAGCUUGCUUGUCAAUCUUAGUGGCGAACGGGUGAGUAACACGUAGUUAACCUACCCGAUGGCGAGGGACAACUUUUGGAAACGAAAGCUAAUACCUCAUAGGAAGCAAUUUUAAAGGAGCGUGUGCUCCGCCAUCGGAAGGGACUGCGUCUGAUUAGCUAGUUGGUAGGGUAAGAGCCUACCAAGGCGACGAUCGGUAGCCGGACUGAGAGGUUGAACGGCCACACUGGGACUGAGACACGGCCCAGACUCCUACGGGAGGCAGCAGUAGGGAAUCUUGCACAAUGGGCGAAAGCCUGAUGCAGCAAUGCCGCGUGAGUGAAGAAGGUUUUCGGAUUGUAAAACUCUGUUAUAUGGGAAGAAUGGCUGAGAGAGGAAAUGUUCUCAGAGUGACGGUACCAUAUCAGCAAGGGACGGCUAACUACGUGCCAGCAGCCGCGGUAAUACGUAGGUCCCGAGCGUUAUCCGGAAUUAUUGGGCGUAAAGGGCGCGCAGGUGGUCAUGUAAGUCUGGUGUGAAAUUUUUGGGCUCAACCCAAAAAGGUCAUUGGAAACUGCAUGACUUGAGAGCAGGAGAGGUAAGUGGAAUUCCUAGUGUAGCGGUGAAAUGCGUAGAGAUCAGGAGGAACACCAGUGGCGAAGGCGGCUUACUGGACUGCAUCUGACACUGAGGCGCGAAAGCGUGG